ACAUGUAGCAGUUGCUUUUUGACAGCUUGCUUCUUCAGUGAAUGAAUAAAUUAAUAAAGAGAAAUGUGAUGUUCAGUGAUCCAUUUUGCAGAUAACACUAACAAAGUUGACCUUAGAAUUGGAGUGCCUGGGUUAGAACCCUGCUGGUACCACCUGCUUACUGCAUGCUUCUGAUGUGAGUUCAGGAGAAGACACUGGCAAGGACAGCAAAGAACAGGAGAACACUCUAGCUUCCCUGAUAGCAUUCAAGGUGCUGUCCAAAGCUCUUGAGUUUCUGCUUUCAAGUGACCCUCAGAAAUUCCCCCAUUCACUGCAGAGGUUCUGUUUCUCCUUGCUUUGUUCUGACUUUACGGCAGAACUAAGCUGAUGAGUUAGUUACUAUGGGUUAUCACUUGGAUUUGAAGAACCAUCAUUUCUAGGCAUUGCUGCUCAGAGUGACCUUGCCAUCGUAUCCCUUUUUGGAGACACAAGCCAGGAAGGAAGCUCUUCAGUGCAGCUGUGAAUAGAGAAAUGCUGGCUGAGGUUUUGGAGACACUGGGUGAUCAUUCCCAGUGAAAUUUUUAGAUCCCUGGGGACAUGAGCUGCUUUGUCUUUUCCAAGGCUGAAAAAGUUUUGGAGCCCUCCUAAGCAGCUGCCAGACCCUUUUUUGGCCAGAGACAGGAUCUUACUCUGUUGCCCAGGCUGGAGUGCAAUAGUGUCAUCAUGGCUCACUGUAGCCUGGAACUGCUGGGCUCAAGGGAUCCUCCCAGCUCAGCCUCCCAAGUAGCUAGGAGUACAGUCUGGACAACACUUUUUCUUUUGAGCUGUUUACAACCUCUAGCAAUUGAGUAGAGUGUACUCUUGUAAAUAGAAUUUGAAGCACAUUUCUUUCUCUGCCUGAUUUCUCUAGAAUUUGUAAACUAUUUGUGAAUAUUCUUAAUUUAUGGCAAUAUGGUUGCUUACAUAAGUUCAAUAAUAAUCUGUUUUCUUUUACAAUGAGACACAGUUGGAGGAACUGGUUAUUUUCCCAGGGCUUUGACUGAAAUGGCCUUGUGAAUGGUUCCAGGAAAGCCAAUUUUGGAGACCCUAUGUGGAUGAUGAUGCUUGCUGUACUUUCUGUGGGUAAUCGGGCCAAGUAUAUGGGACCGAAGCUAAUUUUGCAGGUGAGAAAAUGGAGGUCCAGAGAGAAAAGUGACUCACCCAAGCUGAAAACAGUUGCAGGAAGAAAAGCCAGGACAGAACUGGGCUGUUAGAAACCUUGGAGUACACUAAAGAUGAGGAACUGAGUCACCGCAAUGCCAAAUGUAACACGUUGUGGGUCAAAAUUUGGAUGGUUGCGUUGGAAAUUAUUCUGAAGCCACAGACAGGGCUAAAAGGAUGAUUCACAAAGUGUUCAUAGCAGGGAAGCUGAUGGAAAACUGACAUGCCCCUAGACUUGAGAGAUGCUCUCUAAGUUUAAAAAGGAAACAGCUUAUUGUAAAAUUUAUUUGAAUCGUACGACCUUCCCAUAUCUGUGUAAUUAGCAAAAAGACAAGCUGCAACCAGAGAGG
rnacentral:lncRNA from 1 species